rnacentral:lncRNA from 1 species
UGUUGGAGCUAGGGUUAGGGUUGGGCUUGGAGCUAGGAUUUUUCUGAGUGUAAUGAACCAACUCCCGAGUCUCUAGGACGUUCCUAAAAAAAUUUGUUUUUUUUCCCAUAGGAAUGCAUGGGUUAGGGUUAGGGUUAGGGUUGGAGCUAGGGUUAGGGUUAGGGUUAGGGUUGGAGUUAGGGUUAGUGUUGGAGCUAGGGUUAGGGUUGGGCUUGGAGCUAGGAUUUUUCUGAGUGCAAUGAACCAAGUGCCAACCCAAUUUUUGACCUUCCAGAAUUGUGUUAGGAGCACGUUUCAGGUCACGGGGAGUCUAUAGAACCUAAUUCUGGGGGAAGUUUUUUGAAAAGUUUACUUAGGGUUUGGGUUAGGGUUAGGGUUGGAGCUAGGGUUAGGGUUAGGGUUAAGGUUGGAGCUAGGGUUAGGGUUAGGGUUAGGAUUAGGGUGGAGCUAGGGUUAGGGUUAGGGUUAGAGCUAGGGUUAGGGUUGGGGCUAGGGUUGGGGUUAGGGUUAAGGUUGGAGCUAGGGUUAGGGUUAGGGUUAGGGUUGGAGCCAGGGUUAGGGUUAGGGUUGGAGUUAGGGUUAGUGUUGGAGCUAGGGUUAGGGUUGGGCUUGGAGCUAGGAUUUUUCUGAGUGCAAUGAACCAACUCCCGAGUCUCUAGGACGUUCCUAAAAAAAUUGGAUUUUUUCCCAUAGGAAUGCAUGGGAAAAAAAAUUUGAAAAAUUUUUUAAGUGCCAACCCAAUUUUUCACCUUCCAUAAUUGUGUUAGGAGCACGUUUCAGGGCACGGGGAGUCUAUAGAACCUAAUUAUGGGGGAAGUUUUUUGCAAAGUUUACUUAGGGCUUGGGUUAGGGUUAGGGUUGGAGCUAGGGUUAGGGUUAGGGUUAAGGUUGGAGCUAGGGUUAGGGUUAGGGUUAGGAUUAGGGUGGAGCUAGGGUUAGGGUUAGGGUUAGAGCUAGGGUUAGGGUUGGGGCUAGGGUUAGGGUUAGGGUUAGGGUUAAGGUUGGAGCUAGGGUUAGGGUUAGGGUUAGGGUUGGAGCCAGGGUUAGGGUUAGGGUUAGGGUUGGAGUUAGGGUUAGUGUUGGAGCUAGGGUUAGGGUUGGGCUUGGAGCUAGGAUUUUUCUGAGUGCAAUGAACCAACUCCCGAGUCUCUAGGACGUUCCUAAAAAAAUUUGAUUUUUUCCCAUAGGAAUGCAUGGGAAAAAAAAUUUGAAAAUUUUUUUAAGUGCCAACCCAAUUUUUCACCUUCCAGAAUUGUGUUAGGAGCACGUUUCAGGGCACGGGGAGUCUAUAGAACCUAAUUCUGGGGGAAGUUUUUUGAAAAGUUUACUUAGGGUUUGGGUUAGGGUUAGGGUUGGAGCUAGGGUUAGGGUUAGGGUUAAGGUUGGAGCUAGGGUUAGGGUUAGGGUUAGGGUUGGAGCUAGGGUUAGGGUUAGGGUUAGAGCUAGGGUUAGGGUUAGGGUUGGGGCUAGGGUUAGGGUUAGGGUUAGGGUUAAGCGUCAGGUACCAUGGAGCGACAGAGUUGGUUUAUUCUCCCAGAGCAAACAGUCUGUUUUUUUUUGUUGUUGGCUAUUUAGCAAAAACUCCAAGGAAAAAUCUGAGAAAGUAUGAACUGAUCUGAGUUUUGAAUUUUCAGAGAGCAUUGAGAUGCAUAAAAAAUGUACGCAUCAUUUUUUUUAACAUCCAACCUCACAAGAUUUAAAAUACUAGAAGAAGAGCAUGAUAACAAGCAGCUGGAGAGAACUAUCCUCACUCUGAAGAGCCUGUCAGACACACAGUGGGCCUUUCGUAAGCAGACCACUGAAGCCCUGAUCCUGAUCCUCCCUGCCAUUGUUGCAACCCUGCAACGUGUCAAACACCAGACCAGCAGCACAUCUCGACAGCCUCUAAAGCUGAUGGCCUGCUGACAAAACCAUUUGAAUUCAUUUUAAUUGAAUUCAUUAAUGGUUGGGGAAAUAUUGGACUUUCUGUAGCCCCCCUAAGAAUGCUGCAAAUAUCUCUGCCCCUGCUAACAUCUUUUGUUAAACAUCUACAGCGUUAUUACUUUAGGCAGUUUUAAAUAAGUAAUAAAAGAGAUAAUGUCAAAAACUAAUAGACAGUUUCCUUUUCAUUGUAGGCACUCACGGCUUUCAUUGUUGGUUGAUUCUGUGAGAAUUUUGUGCCACUUUUGUGUGCUUCAGCGGCUGAUGUAGCAACAUAGAGGCUUGUGGGUACAACAACAAUGAGCUACAAUUCCAUCAGGAGCACUCAUGGCCAAGGCCAGCUCAGUACAGACUUUCCAAUUUCUUUAUUUCCUACAUAGUAGCCACACACAGGCACACUGCACCUUUGGAGCAUCCCUUAUCUUGACUAACAUUAUGUCUAUUUAAUCAAUUUACGCAGCUUGGAAAAUAGGUGUGGGAUUUAACAGAUCCCCUCCUCUCUUGUAUGCCUUUUAAACCUCUCUGGUUAGAGAGGAGAAGAUAGAGUCUCUUUAAAUUAGUUUUUUAAUUUUUUAUCUGCACACUUUUGAUGCACAUGGAGGUCUUAUUACAUGAAAUUAUCAUAAAGAUUGGUUCUGGUCAAGUUUAUAUUUAUAAAUUUACUAGAAAAGAGAGACCACGUGGAGCGGAAAGGGAUGCUGUUUCUAGUUAGCCAGGUUUAUAAAUAGCCAUAAGCUACAACAAGAACAGCAGGAAGGUAAUAUAUACCUGCAUAUAUUAUGUGUAUGGUGUGAAGGUUUAAAGCAACUCCAUGCAAGAAGUGUAAUCAAGUGCAGUCAUCCAACAAGCUUUUCAUAGAUCUUUCAACCACUUAUAACACCACUUGAUAAUGAAGGACCAUUCAACCACUAUAUAUUCUCUUUUUCUGUACUCUCGUGGUGAUGGUGUUACAGGCAGAAUCCAACAGCUCACUACAAAAUUCACUGUGUUCAGCAAAGUGUGCAUUUGGUGCCUGCAUGCACAGUCUGACAUGAUGAACUCUGUAAAACCAUCUUGGCCACCUCCUAAUAUAACAAACAUAAUCUGAAGAUUGUUGGGAUGAAUUUUAUUCAAUGAUUUUCUCUCUGCAGAGUAAAUUAACCUUUUCAAUUUAAACACGAGUUUGCUCAUUUUUGUCUCUGAAUGCUUUUCUUUUUACAGAGCAUAAUCUAGAUGGUAUGAUAAUGAUUUUAUUGAAUCAGCCCAUGGCCUUUCCUGAACUUGAUCCUCAUUAGAAGUUAUCAAAUAUACAUUAAGUUAUGGUCUUUUUGCUGUUAUUCCUUAGAGCACCAAAAAGGCACUGUGAGGAGUUUUUAACUAAUUUUGAAGGGGGUCUAACUGGUUUAUGCUUCUGUGCCAGAGUGGCUGACGUUGUAUUGAGCACUACGUACGUCUGCGUUGGAGUGUUCGCACCAGUCUGCAAUACUUAACUGAAAGGUCCCAUAUCAUACUCCUUUUCAGCAGGUUCACAUCGGUCUCAGAACAGUCAAUUUGAAGUUUGUUGUCUAAAAAAGAAAGGCUCCUGAAGAAAUUCCAACUGUGUCUGCAGCAGGACAUUUCUGAAUGGUUACUUAGAAGUAUUAUGUGUCUCCACAUUUUUCUUUGUACUUUGUUCGUGUGUUGGUACACAGUGACUAACAUGUAGCUAGGUAACAUUAGUUCAUGCUAAUGGUUACAUCUCCGCUGUCUUCUCGUUACUUGGAGCUCUUUUGGUGAAUGCACAAUAUUGUAAGUAUAGUUAUUUCUGGUGACCAUGUUCUUUCAGUCUACGGAAACAGACUUCUGUGCUGAUUUGUGCAGCCAACAAACUUGGCUGGGGAUACAUAUUAUUGUUAGAAAAGCAUUCUAAAGUGAAUUUUGCGUAAUGUGGGACCUAUAAAUAAUAGUUGCCUGUAAGAAGGAGGGCUGCCAGUUUAUUUUCCAUCUGUGGUGUAGUUCCCCAUGUCCUUCCUCAAAGGACCCCAUUAAGACAUCUAUCAAAACUCAGAUCUUUUAGUGUUUUGACUGUCUGUUCAGUGCUGUUGAUUGACUAACGUGUCUACUGAGGUCAAGAUUGACCUGGAUUGGCCAGGUCAUUAUGAGAGCGCCAUCUGCUGGAUCAUAUGAGAGCUACUUCAGGCGGCCUGAUGCUGGUAUACUGAAUAAUUACGUAUUUGAAUGGCUCAUUGAAAUUCAAAUAUAUGGCAUACUUUUCAUAUCACUGAUUUAUGUUGAUUGUUUCUGUCCAGGCAACUGAGCCCAGCAUGAUAUGCUAGGUUCAGUUUGACAAGCCAUAUUAAAAGGUUGGGAUUUUAGCAACAUCUGAAAACAUCUUUGAAAAAAAAAAAAAAAAGGAAUGCAUUUACCAAAUUGAUCUCGGAAGAUAUACUUUUUCAAGUGCAGAACUACUAUGCAAAUGUGGCAAAAUACAGUUACACAAGCCAUAUUUGAAAACCAAGUUUUUGAAUGGAGACGUAGUGGUUAAACUGUAUGUAAAUGUGACAUUGAGUACAUUUAGAUGUUGUUUGAAAUAAUUGGUUAUAGCAUUAGUCUGACCGAACAGAUCAUCAUGUAAUCAUUAAAGGUACACACACCUCUUGCUUACAUGUUUCUCAUGAUCUCAAUUUAAUCCACAUAUCAGCCAUGGAGCUGAAAUGACUGUGUUAUUAACAGAACACAACAUCUCUAAAGGUCCUCUGUAAGGGUGAUGAACUGCAGUACUUUUAAAUUCUCCAACAGACAAUCAUAACUCGACUAAAGCUGCCAUGAAAAGUCUUAUGAAGUGCUCACAAUCAAUGGUAUAACUCUGGAUUUUUACCAUUUAUACUGGCAAGCAGGCUGUAAAACCAGCAUCGAGUUCAUCAGUCCAAAACCACUGGUAAGUUAACAAAGAAUGGGGAGUAAAUCCAAAUUGGAGAUACUUCAAUUAGUUCCACUGAGUUGAAUAUACUAGCUCCGACUGAAAUAUACAGUACCAAACUCCUGGCCUUCUACAGAUGUGGAUUAUUUGAAGUGAGUCUGUUUGACUGGAAUCAGGCUCUCUGGGCUGGCAGCCAUUUCUGCUCAGACCAAUAUUUGAUGGAUUUCCUCCCUCAAGACUCCUAAUUAUUGCCCUUUAAAAACCCCUCAUCCUUAGUAAUGUUGUUUAAAAUUCAUGGUGCCUUUAACAGCUUGAUUCCCACAAAGAGCCAUGGGCUGCCACACACUGCUCUCCAGCUGAAGAAAUGUGAACCAAUGCCCCGGAUAACUGCUCUGUGUUCAGCAUUCAUCAAGAUAUAAAAACAUAGAUGCUGCCUGUGAACACAACAAUGGAAGUAGGAGAUGCUCAUGACGGUCAUCAGUUUUCAAGUAAAGAAUGUUGAUCUCAGUGAAAAUUGAGUUUCUCUUCUGUUCUGAUGAAAUUUUCCUGAACUCUGCACUUUUAAAACAGCUUAUUGGAGCACUUUGGGAAAACCUACGUGUACUGUCCUGGUUCAAAGUCGAGUAGUCCAAAUGAACUGAAGUGUCCUCACUCCUCCCAUUUGAUGUACGAUGCUCCGGGCGCUGACUUCUGGGUGAACUUGGAGAG